rnacentral:rRNA from 1 species
UACGUAGGGGGCAAGCGUUGUCCGGAAUCAUUGGGCGUAAAGCGCGUGUAGGCGGUUCGAUAAGUCUGCUGUGAAAGUCCAGGGCUCAACCCUGGGAUGCCGGUGGAUACUGUCGGGCUAGAGUACGGAAGAGGCGAGUGGAAUUCCCGGUGUAGCGGUGAAAUGCGCAGAUAUCGGGAGGAACACCAAUUGCGAAGGCAGCUCGCUGGGACGUCACUGACGCUGAGACGCGAAAGCGUGGGGAGCAAACAGG